CCUACGGGAGGCUGCAGUGGGGAAUAUUGCACAAUGGGGGAAACCCUGAUGCAGCGACGCCGCGUGAAGGAAGAAGUAUUUCGGUAUGUAAACUUCUAUCAGCAGGGAAGAAAAUGACGGUACCUGACUAAGAAGCCCCGGCUAACUACGUGCCAGCAGCCGCGGUAAUACGUAGGGGGCAAGCGUUAUCCGGAUUUACUGGGUGUAAAGGGAGCGUAGGCGGUUUAGCAAGUCAGAAGUGAAAGCCCGGGGCUCAACUCCGGGACUGCUUUUGAAACUGUUGAACUAGAGUGCAGGAGAGGUAAGUGGAAUUCCUAGUGUAGCGGUGAAAUGCGUAGAUAUUAGGAGGAACACCAGUGGCGAAGGCGGCUUACUGGACUGUAAAUGACGCUGAGGCUCGAAAGCGUGGGGAGCAAACAGGAUUAGAUACCCUAGUAGUC
rnacentral:rRNA from 1 species